AACGAACGCUGGCGGCAUGCCUAACACAUGCAAGUCGAACGAGACCUUCGGGUCUAGUGGCGCACGGGUGCGUAACGCGUGGGAACCUGCCCUUAGGUUCGGAAUAACUCCCCGAAAGGGGUGCUAAUACCGGAUAAUGUCUUCGGACCAAAGAUUUAUCGCCUUUGGAUGGGCCCGCGUUGGAUUAGCUAGUUGGUAGGGUAAAAGCCUACCAAGGCGACGAUCCAUAGCUGGUCUGAGAGGAUGAUCAGCCACACUGGGACUGAGACACGGCCCAGACUCCUACGGGAGGCAGCAGUGGGGAAUAUUGGACAGUGGGCGAAAGCCUGAUCCAGCAAGGCCGCGUGAGUGAUGAAGGCCUUAGGGUUGUAAAGCUCUUUUACCCGGGAUGAUAAUGACAGUACCGGGAGAAUAAGCUCCGGCGAACUCCGU
rnacentral:rRNA from 1 species